GAUACUUCUGUUCUCUCUUUAUUGAUUUUUUCACGCGUAUUGAUUCUAUUAUCGUUGUUUUGGGUUUUGAUAAAAUUCUUUCAAAUCUAGCGAUGUUUUUCAAUUUGUGUAGAAAUUGCCUCCGAUGAUGAUCAAAUCAUAACUUUCGUUCUUCCGAGAUUUUAUCAUGCGGAGAAAUUAUGGAGACCUGAACUGAGCUGAGGCAAUUUCAUCAUCUCUUUUCUUUUUGUUUUUACAAAUUAUGGUGUCUUUUUUAUCUGGGGUAAGCUCUUAUGAUGUCAAAACUUUCGUUCUCCUGAGAUUUCAAUAUGCUGAAAA